AACAAAAUCUGUACCUCAUUCUACCGUGUCUUAGGAUCACUUACCAGAACAAAUAGUUGAGGCCGAUGUGAUUUUUUUUUUUAAGUAAUUUGCCUCUGCGAGAAAAAAUGCAUUUAUUUCUACGAAAAAACACAGCAUCUGUUCUUCCCUGCUGCUUCUACAAAACAAUACUUGUUAUUAGAGAAUAGCUAUGGAAAAUUAGGCAGCUAAAAUGGAAUUUACCCAACUUGGAAUCUGAGGAGAGGAAGCUCAAAUGCAAUUUACUCAACUUGGAAUUUGAGGAGAAAUGUAUAUUUAACAUUUGUCCGGCGGAUUAGCACAGCAGGACUGUCGCGUUAUUCAGAGCCACGCCAAGUUCUUCCAGUUUAGUUGACUUGAAUAUAAGAAACAGAUGUUGGGGAUGUUGGGGCAACGUUCAGCUCUGCAAACUUCCCCGACCGAGAAAAUAAAUACUCCAUCUCUCCAUCCCUCGGCCGAGACAAAACGCCUUACACUGUCUGUCUGUCACGGUGUGGGAAGGCAUUCAGUGGGAAGCGGUCGCUGACGGUCGUUUCCGAGGAGGAGGAAGGGAGAGCAGGGCCGGUUUCGGGCCCGGACAGGGCCGGGCCGGGCCGGGCCGGGCCGGCGGCAGCGGAGCCGCCAGCAGGUGGCGCGGUGCCUGCGCGGAUUGAGCGGCCCGAGCAGGCCUCUGAGGCGGCGGGCGCGCUCUCUCCUUAAUUUCCUGCUCGGAGCUUAGUCAUUUCUAUUUUUCGUCGCAGAGCAAAAUAAUCAGCAUUGUCUUUCAUCGUUAAUUGAGCCACGCUGCCUUUCAGUCAUUAUGGACCUGAUCCUGGGCCUCUGGAGUCAGCAGGAAUUUUGCACAGCUGUCCCAAGGUGGUUAGGUGCAGUCUUAGAGUCACAUCGUACUAAUCUGUUUUACUUUGUACGCUUCAAAUUCGGGACUGUUUUGUGAGGGAACUGCCAAGCUAUUUAUGUUAUGUUAUGUUAUGUUAUGCUAUGUUAUGUUGUUGAUCUAAGAGGGCUCACUUGGGGGUAAUAAGGCUGUUACCUUUUGUCAGUCUCAUGUAUUCCCAGAAAAUUUAAGGACUGAUUCCUGAAAUCUGUCAUCAGUUACAUUCACAUUUUUCCCUGAUCUCUCCCUGCAAUGACUAGGGUGUAAAAAGUUACAUUUGUAGUUCUUUCUUCUCUUACCUUUGGAAUUUUACGUAAAGUAUGCUGUUUAAAAACAAAUCAAGCUGAGUGUUCAAUGGCCCACUCUAUUUCCUACAGAAACAGGGAUCUUUUAAUUUGCUCUUAAAUUGCCUUUCAAUGAAAUAUUACCUUUAUGUAAGAGGAGUAUAGUGCAGGGAAUGGCUACUUCAUUUUGUCUCUGAAUUUGAUUUCUUUAACUGCACUUAAGUAAUUUGAUAAGCCUGUAUGCUUUAGCAUAGACCAUCUAAAAGGAAAGAAAAUGCAAUGUGAUAAUGCAUUUACAGAGUUAAUCUACAACAAGAGGACUGUGGAUCAUUUCUCUAGAUUUUUCUCUUUUUUUAUUUUCUUUUUUUUUUUUUUUUUGUAAAUCCAUUAGAAGAUUUACAGGAAGGACUCUUUGAGUGUCACCAUUUUAAUUUAAUAAUUGUGUCUCUAGAUCAACAAGAGA
ensembl:lncRNA